rnacentral:rRNA from 1 species
UACGUAGGGGGCAAGCGUUGUCCGGAAUCAUUGGGCGUAAAGCGCGCGUAGGUGGCCUCAUAAGUCCGCUGUGAAAGUCAAAGGCUCAACCUUUGAAAGCCGGUGGAUACUGUGAGGCUAGAGUACGGAAGAGGCGAGUGGAAUUCCUGGUGUAGCGGUGGAAUGCGCAGAUAUCAGGAAGAACACCCGUGGCGAAGGCGGCUUUUUGGUCUGUAACUGACGCUGAGGCGCGAAAGCGUGGGGAGCAAACAGG